GUGUAUUAGCAGUGGCAGUAUCGUAGCCAAUGAGGUUAAUCCGAGGCGCGAUUAUUGCUAAUUGAAAACUUUUCUGAUUGC
rnacentral:snRNA from 1 species